UCCAAGGUUCUUCCCGAUAGAGCCUGCGUC
rnacentral:piRNA from 1 species